rnacentral:lncRNA from 1 species
GCGCCACCUUUCUUUUCAAUCAUAAUGGAUCUCUUUCCUUUUUAUCUCCUUAUCUCUAAUUUGGAUCGCAUUCAAAUUAGACAGGAGAUAAGGACCAUGACUCAUCAUACUUGUCACCCACCCUCUCUGUGCCCUCUCUUCUCACACCCAAAAAUCACAUGCCAAAACUCUUUUGGCAUUGAGAAGAAGAGGUAGGUCCAGGGUGGCACAAAGGGAGAGAGAUAGAGUCCCUGCUGGUUGGAACUCUUCAUUUUCAAUUUGAUUCUAAAUCAAAUCUGAUUUGAAUCCAAUGAGAAGAAGAAAUCUAAUCUAAUUAGAAACUCAAUCAUCUCAAUAAAUUUC